rnacentral:rRNA from 1 species
CACGUAGGGUGCGAGCGUUGUCCGGAAUUAUUGGGCGUAAAGAGCUCGUAGGCGGUGUGUCGCGUCGGCCGUGAAAACCUGCAGCUUAACUGUGGGCUUGCGGUCGAUACGGGCAUCACUGGAGUUCGGCAGGGGAGACUGGAAUUCAUGGUGUAGCAGUGAAAUGCGUAGAGAUCAUGAGGAAGACCAGUGGCGAAGGCGGGUCUCUGGACAGUUCCUGACACUGAGACACGAAGGCCAGGGGAGCAAACGGG